rnacentral:lncRNA from 1 species
CCGAGUUGCAAUUUAUUCAUUUGUAAAAUGAAAGUAAUAACGCGCAUUUUGUCAAAUGAAAAAUGUUAGCAAACCGUGGAAGACAAUUCUUAGCACUCAAAUCUUAUUCGCUUUCACUCCCUUCCAGCCUUCGCCAAAUUGCUUCUAAAGCUAAUAAUGGGCAAUGUGGGAGUAAGAAGGGAAAGGGCGAGGAGCCGCGAACAGCAGGAGGAAAGCUCAAGCUAGAUAAUGCCAGUGCAUUAUCUAAGACGUUCACUCUAUGGUCCUAUCAAAUUAAAUCUUUCCCCAAGAGUAAUUAAAAUAUCACUGUAAUAUGAUUAAAUAUUUAGUCUGAAACGAAAAUCCCUUUCUCAUCUGGAGGUGAUUGCCAAGAAGCGGGUUGGUGUGGUUCUCAGUUAAUAUAAAAAUGUUGAGGGGACAGGAGAAAUGGCUCCUCCAGUAAGAGCAGAGCUGCUCAUUCAGAGAGCCCAAGCUAAGUUCCCAGCACUCAUAUGGUAGUUCACAACCAUCUGUUGAGUACAGUUUCAGAGGAUCCGGUACCCUUUUUUGACCUCCUUGGCCACCAGGCAUGCACAUGGUGCAUACAUAUACACACAGGCAAUUGCUCAUACACAUAGAAUAAAAAUAAAUACAAAAGCCAGAA